GCCUGGCUGGCUCAGUCGUAGAGCAUGGGACUCUUAAUCUUGGGGUUGUGAGUCUGAGCCCCAUGUUGGGCA
rnacentral:tRNA from 1 species